rnacentral:sRNA from 1 species
AGCCCUUGAUAUGUGUUUUCUGACAGUCCA